rnacentral:rRNA from 1 species
GAUGAACGCUGGCGGCGUGCCUAAUACAUGCAAGUCGAGCGAACAGACGAGGAGCUUGCUCCUUUGACGUUAGCGGCGGACGGGUGAGUAACACGUAUGUAACCUACCUAUAAUACUGGGAUAACUUCGGGAAACCGGAGCUAAUACCGGAUAAUAUUUCGAACCGCAUGGUUCGAUAGUGAAAGAUGGCUUUGCUAUCACUUAUAGAUGUAUCUGCGCCGUAUUAGCUAGUUGGUAAGGUAACGGCUUACCAAGGCAACGAUGCGUAGCCGACCUGAGAGGGUGAUCGGCGACACUGGAACUGAGACACGGUCCAGACUCCUACGGGAGGCAGCAGUAGGGAAUCUUCCGCAAUGGGCGAAAGCAUGACGGAGCAACGCCGCGUGAGUGAUGAAGGUCUUCGGAUCGUAAAACUCUGUUAUUAGGGAAGAACAAACGUGUAAGUAACUGUGCACGUAUUGACGGUACCUAAUCAGAAAGCCACGGCUAACUACGUG